UACAGAGGGGGCAAGCGUUAUUCGGAAUUAUUGGGCGUAAAGGGCGCGUAGGCGGCCUGGCAAGUGGAAGGUGAAAUCCCUCGGCGUAACCGAGGAACUGCCCUCCAAACUGCUUGGCUUGAGACCGGGAGAGGUGAGUGGAAUUCCCAGUGUAGCGGUGAAAUGCGUAGAUAUUGGGAGGAACACCAGUGGCGAAGGCGGCUCACUGGACCGGUACUGACGCUGAUGCGCGAAAGCGUGGGGAGCAAACGGG
rnacentral:rRNA from 1 species